UCUUUCCCUUUGGUGGAACUUUAGUGCAUUUAAGAAUACUGGUUGCCUCCCAAAACAUGAAAGCAAAACAGGUCGUUCCCUGUGGGACAGAAUGCCUGGCUCCCUGCUAUUGUGGAUGCAUCGUCUACUUCAAAUUAAUGGGAAAGCACCUCUACAACAUGGAUUAAAAGGAAAGACAGAAAUAGGAUGUAUUAAGAAGAAUGAGAACAAAACACACAAAAAAAGACAUGGAACAAUUGGAUCACGUUCAAAAGGAAAUUUCCAAGAGAACUUAAUGGUGAAAUUAACCUCUUGUAAUAUUUACAGCUAUUAAAUACAGAAGAGAAUAUUAUAUUUGGCUCUAGGAAAUAGAAAAUAAUUAUUACCCAAAUGACAGUUUAUGGAGUAUCCUAGAGUGGGUUCUGUUUCACACAAAGCUGAAGAAGAAUUCUUGAAAAACCUCUAAAGAGUCCCUUUAAUAUUAUACAAUGCAGGGGAAUUAAGACUUAACACAGCUUGAAGACCAGUAUGGACUUGAACUACUUGGAACAAAAAACUGUAUUAUGCUGCCAUAAUUAAAACACAUGCAUAAGAUUUAAGUCAUCAGGCACUGGUAAAAGACUGUGAAGCACAAAAUAUUUAAAUGUUUUAAUGUUAACACCUCAAUGCUGGAAGGAAGGUUCCACUAGGAGAAGUCUCUAUUAAAAUGUUCAACAAGU